rnacentral:rRNA from 1 species
UACGGAGGGGGCUAGCGUUGUUCGGAAUUACUGGGCGUAAAGCGCACGUAGGCGGCUUUGUAAGUUAGAGGUGAAAGCCCGGGGCUCAACUCCGGAAUUGCCUUUAAGACUGCAUCGCUAGAAUUGUGGAGAGGUAAGUGGAAUUCCGAGUGUAGAGGUGAAAUUCGUAGAUAUUCGGAAGAACACCAGUGGCGAAGGCGACUUACUGGACACAUAUUGACGCUGAGGCACGAAAGCGUGGGUAGCAAACAGG